rnacentral:rRNA from 1 species
GAUGAACGCUGGCGGCGUGCCUAACACAUGCAAGUCGAGCGAACGGAUGAGAAGCUUGCUUCUCUGAUGUUAGCGGCGGACGGGUGAGUAACACGUGGAUAACCUACCUAUAAGACUGUGAUAACUUCGGGAAAUCGGAGCUAAUACCGGAUAAUAUUUUGAAGCGCAUUGUUCAAGAGUGAAAGUCGGUCUUUCUGUCACUUAUAGAUGGAUCCGCGCUGCAUUAGCUAGUUGGUAAGGUAACGGCUUACCAAGGCAACGAGGCAUAGCCGACCUGAGAGGGUGAUCGGCCGCACGGCAGAGAGGACGCGGAGCCGAACCGGAAGGGAGGCACGGGUCGGGAACCUACGGGAAUGGGCGAAAGCGUAAAGGAGCAAAGCGGCGUGAGUGAUGAAGGGCUUCGGCUCGUAAAACACUGUUGUUAGGGAAGAACAUAUGUGUAAGUAACGGUGCAAAUAUUGAAGGAACGGAAGAAGAAAGCCACGCUAAACUCGGU